UCUGUAUAAGUUGUUAUGAUAUGAAGCAAAGUGCUUCGCGGAACUAAGUGCUACGUUGUGAGUCACCUCUAGAAUCCGCGUGAGACACCUCUUGAAUUCAUACUAGUAUGUUCAAGGGCUUAACGCCAAAUUAUCCAAGGGUUUGAUGCCACAAUGUUUAAGGGCUUCACGCCACAAUGUUCAAGGGCUUUACGCCACUCUAUUCAAGGGCUUACAGCCAUUAUGCUUCAAGAUGUUAUGUUUCAAGCCAUUAUGUUUAAAGUUUAAGCCUAAGACCAUUCUGAAAAUAAUUACAAUAUUAAGUUAACUAUGUGUUCUCUGCACUUAUGUUUGUACAUUAUAAUUCAAGUUAAUCAUUAAAUUGUUUACGUAUCACUAUUCACUGAGCUUGACUCACCCUGUGUUUUGUUUAUUCUGUAGGCACUCCAUCUGGAGGCCAGUCAAAACCCGUGGCAUCCGUUCCUCUUUUGUCAACCUCGGAGUGUCCAGGCACUUAAGUGAAGGCAACUAUUUUAUGGAGUUUUGCUAAGCUUUUGGUUUUGUACCCUGAUUGUUUGUCUGAGAUGUUCCCAGUCAUCGUAAAAGAUUAUGUCGUCGAGAAACAAGUUUCUCAAAGAAGAAAAAGAUUGAAAGUUGAGUUUGUUAUAGAGCCAACAACACAUGAAAGUGAAAAUCAACUAGAAGUUAAACCUGAAUCUAACAUUGACAAUGAGGAGCCCAAAUAGGAACAACUGAAACAAGCUACAGAGCUCCACAAAGCAAGAGGGAAGAAAAAGAUUGAUGGAAGAAAAACUAGGACUGAACAAAUACAUGAUAAUGAAGCAAAGUAUGUCUACCGUUCUAACAUUCAAUCUCUUAUCAAAUUUUUCAAGAGAACAAAACUCAGAGAGGAGCAUUUGACACUAUUGAGAAAGACACAUUUUUCACUUCUGGUUGAUACAUUGAGUGAAAACAAGGUUAAAAGAAGAGAUUCAAUUAAAUAUGAUGAUGUGGUUGCAAAAAUUUUGCAAACUUACCAAAUAGAUGGAACCACAUUUGAAAUUGCUGGAAAGAAGCUGAAGUUGAAAAGAAAUGACUUCAAGUUAAUUUUUGGGAUUGCAUGUGGACAAAAGAAGAUGAAUCUUGCAUACGGAAGAAAAAAUGAGGUAGCUAUGGUGCAAAGAAGGAAAUAACCGAGAGCAGAAUGACAAGUGCUUCAAUCCAAAAGUUGAUAACGAAACUUUUGAGAAGCAACAACAAUGAAGAUGUAGAAGAUGUCGUUAGGCUUGUGUGCCUUCUGGUUUGUUUGCUUUUGUUGUAUUCGGGUACUAGGAUAACAAUUGGUUGGGGGUUCAUGAAAUACCUCGAGAAUAUUGAUGAAAUAAAGUCUUAUGAUUGGUGUGGCGCAGCAAAACAACAUCUUACAAGAUCAAUAGCACGCAACAUCAACCAAAUUGAUAGAGUGUGCGGAUGUGUGAUCAUCUUAUUAUAUUGGAUAUGUGAGCAUGCAAAGAUCAUCAAACCAAAUGAUAAGAACCCAAUCCCAAGAUUUGCAAAAUGGAACAUUACACAUCUGGGAGAACAAUUGGCAAAGUCAUCCUUGCAUGAUCUGAAACAUAUUGAGGAGAGCAAUUUGAAAGACACAAUUGAAGAAUAGAACAUAUACAAACAAUUGCAACCACAAACAGAUGAUGAGCAUGAAGAUGAAUAAUGUAACUUUGAGGAACAAGAGCAUACUGAAUUAUCUGAAAAGGAAGAAGAACCAAUUAUCAGAAAGAUAUUCAGUCUCAAUCCAGGAAGAAAUUCACCGAAUCCCAAGCAUCAAACAGGUGCUCGAAAAAAGAGGAAAUCAACAACAUUGCAAUCAAAAAAGAAUGUAAGAAGGAAAGCCAACUUUCAGCAUGAAACUAAAGAAGGUCCAGUUCAUAUGCAAAGAAAUGAGCUUUCUUUUGACAACCUAGAAAAUGAUGAAGAAUAAACAAUGAUCAAACAGAAAGUUAGUCCAACAACUUCACCAGGAUUCAAGCAUCAAACACCGGCUGAAAAGAGGAAAACAGAAAGGAAACUUGCCAAUGAAACAAAUAUCUAUCAUGUCAAAAUUAAUGAACAUACCUUUCAGAAACUAGAGGAGAAUGUCCUGAUAAUCCAAAGGCUAGAAAUGGAGAAGGCAAGAAUCCAAGCAGAAAAUGAUGAGCUUAAGGACCAACUCAUGAAGCUCAGUAAACAAAUGGAAGAACAGAGCAAGAAAGCAAAGACACAAAUGGAAGUGAAAGAUGUGAAAAUAGUGCUACUUAAUAAGAGAAUUACAAUGUUGGUUGAAUCGAAUUUCUACCUGAACAGUCAAGAAGAACAAAUCGCAGUUGAAGUUAAAGCCACCACUCCUAAAACAUUGCCUCUUGUGAGCUCAAUGAUAAAAAAGGGUGAAAAAUAGAGAAACAAGAAAAAAACACAAAGAUCCAGAUUUUUGGUACAUAACGAAAAGACAGCCAAAGCAGAACAAGAUAGUUGAUGAAAUAGAACCAAUGGUUGAAGAAAGUGCAAAGACCAAAAAAGAAGAGCAGACACAACAUCAACAUCCAACAAAACAAAUUGACACUUCCUAUCCAGUGUUUCACAAAUUGCCAAAGAAAUCAAGGAUGAAACUCACUAGUCGUUGGGCAACAAAAACCAGCAGUUAUCCAAUCUUACAAGGAAAGGAAGUAGGCAGCUAUUUGUACUUGGAUGAUAUUGACAAAAUAGUCAAAUACGAAAAACUUUCUGGAAAUGCAACAAAUGCAUACAAGGAAAUCUUAAUGGCAGAAGAGCAACCGAAACCAAAGUUCAGCCUUAGCUCGCAAGCAGGAACAACAUAUAUAUUUACUACAUCAUGCCGUUAUUUGUUCACCACAAAGGAUGAGGCAGAAACAAAUCAAUUGUUGAAAAAAAAUGAUGUUAGAAGCUGUCAAGGAAAUAUAUCUUCUUUUCUCAAUUUUCAAUGAAAAGCAUUGGACGUUGUUGGUACUCGAUACUGAAAAUGGCUCAUGGAAGUUUUACAAUUCAAUGAGACCAAGCACAGAAACAGAUAACCACUUAAAUGAGGCAAACAAAGUGAGAAAGGUUAUUGAAAAAUACCUUCAACAUCACAAUCCUAAACUCAUUGAAGGUAACAAGUUUCAUGAAGAAAUAGAAAUUGUAAUGAAUUGUCCCUAACAAGUUGAUCAUUCACUUGAUUGUGGCGUCAUAGUUUGUUACCUCAUGAGAGAAUAUGUCUGUAACAAAGACAUCUUUUCCAACUUAACAAAGGAGCAGUGCCAGUAAAUCAGAGCAGAUAUCAUACAUGCUUUGUUGACUAACCAACAGACAGACACCCAGCAAAUCGUUGAUGAGGCAAUAGAAGCGGUGCUUGAAGACAAGGAGUUUUGGGACACAAUAGACAAUGACAACAAUGCUUGAAUAAUUUGGGACAAAGAUUAUAAUCAUUUUGGUUCUUACUUUGCUUCAAUGAAUAUUACAAUGCUUGGUUGUUACAAUGUCAAAUUUGCUUCAAUGAAACAUUCAGUCUUUUUUAACCAUAUUGUUA